UCAUACCAAAGUUGCUGUGGGUGAAAGUGACAGUCCUGGGACCACCACUGCUGAUUUUGUUCUAGCUAUUGGACUUAGGGACAUGACAGACCUUUUGCUCACUUUCAUGCAAUAAAGAGAUUGACGAAGACACCUCUAUAAGGCAGCCUAGAAGAUGGACGUUUGACAGGCCACAAUAGACUGCUCCUUUCCCAGGGAGAAAACCCCAGGGGCUCCAAAACCACGCAUAGAGAUGGCAGCUUGGAGCUGAUGAAGCAAAAUGAGCCCGAACAUCCAAUGGACUUCCCAGGGUAGGGACUCCACCUACCUUCCUUCACCACAUGUCUGAUGGAGAAGCUCUCUGCAGCCAAAACAC
rnacentral:lncRNA from 1 species